AUUUACAAAAUUUGAGACAACUCAAAUAUGAAAAUAACGAAAUCCCCAACUCUCUCCGAGGGUCCUUGAGUUGCGAAAAAUUUCUAGGAUCAACCAAAAUACAAUAAAUAUGAUAUGCAAUGAUGAUCUAGUGUAUAACAUUCCAAAUUAAAAAUUUGGGAUGUUACAGCUACAGGUGGAUCCGCCCCUGACCGCGACAUGGCAACGUGCUCCUUUCAACCUGGGCUCCUUUUGGUUGGCCAAACCGUGGGUGCAAUAUAUUUGGGAAUGAAUAAUUUCACGCAUUUUUUGUAAAAUUUCAUUUAAAAUAUAAUAUUAACAAAUCACCAACUGAAAUCCUACAUGGGCUUGGGGUCGUCUUCGCCGUGGUAUUAGCCGCAAGCAACUCCGUGGCAGGAAUGGCUCGGGAGAUACAAAGCAAUAUUUCCAUUUGUACCUCCUACAUACGUUAUCUGUCGCCCUCAAACAAACAAAACAUAGGUUAUCUAUUGUAAACGAACUUAUUUUUCUUUUCUGUGCAUACUAGAUAUUACUUUCUCCGUCUCAUAAUAUAGAACGUUUUUCUAACACUACAUAAGUAGUUAUCACCUUUGACCUUGACUUCAUCGCCGUCAUCGUGCCUCCCCAACCGGAGCCGAAGGUCCACAGCUACUCCGGCAACGACUCCGACUCCGACGGAAAACCGGUAUCAAGGAGCUGACUUAGGAAUCAAUAAGCCAAGGGUAAGGAACGACAUGACAAAAAAAUAAAGAAGGAAAAUUUAGUUGAGACAACUACAUGUCAAAUGACAUGAGACCUGACAAAGGAAUGAAAGAAUUAGGAGAGAGAAAUAAAAAGGAAGAGAACUUUAUUUUUGAGGGCUAGGAAGAGGAGAACUAGACCUGAGAUGGAAGGAAGGAAGAUACAUGGUGGAUUAUUAAUAGGUGAUGGGCUGGAAUUCAAACAUACACGUGACAUGAAAAGAUACAUGGUGGACCAAACGGUGAUUUUGCUGCGGCGCCACCGCGGUGCUCUUCACCGACGCAGCCGUCCGUGAGCGGCUCCACCUCCUGGCCAUCGUCUUGUGCCGGCCCCGAACCUAGGGUUCCAGCACGGUCACUUCCUCCGAGUCCAAGCCUCCAAGGUGUACGGCCUCGACUACAAUUUUACAGACUGUUGGCUGGGACAAGGCAUUUUGCAAAUGAAUCUUUGUUUACGAGAAGUUAUGAAGUUAGCAACCUUGGUCGCUGGCCCCGGCGGGUGAGCCCUCUGCAAAUCAGCGGUUGCUGGCUCCAGAAGUUCUUUUGGUGUGGCCUCCUCCCUCUAGAAGUUCUUUUGGUUAAUGUAAUAUCUGAAUCAGUGAUCUUUGGCAACUUUGCUAGUUUCUACUUUCUAGUGCCCCCAUUUGCAACAGCCUGUGGAAUUGGUACACAUGUCAAUUGCUAUAAUAGGUGGAAAGAGCAUGUUUUAUAGACUUUUUUCCAAGCAUUAUCUGACAAUAACAGACACUGUAGCAGCAUUUGAAAUUCUGAAUUAUACA